rnacentral:misc_RNA from 1 species
GAUUGCCUUUCGAGGCACCUUAACCAGACCUGAUUCGGUCUCUCGUGACAUAGAGUUAGAUCUUCACCUCAUUCAAAAUGGUCUACAUCGGACAUCACGUUUUGAGAUUGCGAUGCAAGUCGUUCGGAACAUGGUUGCUACUGUUGGUGACUCAAAUCUCUGGUUAGCUGGCCAUUCCCUCGGCUCAGCCAUGGCAAUGCUUGCCGGAAGAACUAUGGCAAGAACAGGCAUUUUCCUCAAAUCAUAUCUCUUCAAUCCUCCAUUCUUUGCCGCACCGAUCGAGAGAAUCAAGGACAAGAAACUAAAACAUGGAUUACGGAUUGCUGGCAGUGUUAUCACUGCAGGACUUGCUCUUGCUUUGAAAGCUAGAAGUAAUAAUAACCAAAGGAAUGGAGUUGAGGAGCCAUUUUUUGCCAUAGCAGCAUGGGUUCCUUCUUU